rnacentral:rRNA from 1 species
GGAAUCUUCCACAAUGGACGAAAGUCUGAUGGAGCAACGCCGCGUGAGUGAAGAAGGUUUUCGGAUCGUAAAGCUCUGUUGUUGGUGAAGAAGGAUAGAGGCAGUAACUGGUCUUUAUUUGACGGUAAUCAACCAGAAAGUCACGGCUAACUACGUGCCUAG